rnacentral:lncRNA from 1 species
GGAAAUGCUAUAAUGAAGGAGUUUUUGAGUAAGGAGGUUCAAUUGGGGGUUCGUUACAUAAAUCUUUUGUAAAUUAUUCAUUGAAAUGUUAGAAAUGUGUUCUACAAGACCUCCCUAGACCUGUAUGUGGCUACACCACUGUAUACGUGGAGACCACAAAAAAUUUAUUGGCUUAGCAAAGUGACUAAACCCUAACCCCU